UACAGAGGUCUCAAGCGUUGUUCGGAUUCAUUGGGCGUAAAGGGUGCGUAGGCGGCGCGGUAAGUCGGGUGUGAAAUCUCGGAGCUUAACUCCGAAACUGCAUUCGAUACUGCCGUGCUUGAGGACUGGAGAGGAGACUGGAAUUUACGGUGUAGCGGUGAAAUGCGUAGAUAUCGUAAGGAAGACCAGUGGCGAAGGCGGGUCUCGUGGACAGUUCCUGACGCUGAGGCACGGAAGGUCAGGGGGAGCAAACGGG
rnacentral:rRNA from 1 species